rnacentral:rRNA from 1 species
UACGGGGGGGGUAAGCGUUGUUCGGAAUUACUGGGCGUAAAGGGCUCGUAGGCGGCCAACUAAGUCAGACGUGAAAUCCCUCAGCUUAACUGGGGAACUGCGUCUGAUACUGGAUGGCUUGGAUUCGGGAGAGGAGGGUGGAAUUCCCAGUGUAGCGGUGAAAUGCGUAGAUAUUGGGAGGAACACCGGUGGCGAAGGCGGCCCUCUGGACCGGUACUGACGCUGAUGCGCGAAAGCGUGGGGAGCAAACGGG